GAGGAUGGGGCCCCAGGGGGCUGAGGUGCAGGCACAGGGGUGGGGCGCCCUCGAGCAUCCAUUCUUCUCAGCUCUGGACUCCACCGUCUCUCCUCUGCUCAUGGUCUGCCCUCUGAGCAUCCUUCCGUGACACUGGCACAGGCUUGUAGCUGAGGACCUUUAUGGUCUCGGAUCAUUCGGGGUCCGGUCGAGAGGAGGAGACCACACCGAAAUUGGGAGGGGGCCACUGAGGGACGGCAGCAGGGACCAGAGUGUGGAGGUGGCUACCGAGCAUGGAGAAGGCACGCAACGGGCGGAGCGGGGCGCUGAGGGUUGAGCAGGGCCUCAAGGAAGGGGUGAGUCUGGAAGAGCCCCACGUCCCACCCCGACCCCCGCAUUGGCUCCUGGCCCGGAUUCAGGCCUCAGUGGGGAGGCUGCAGCCCCAGCAAAGUUCAGUGAGGUGCUCUGCCUGCAGAACUUGCUGGAAAGGCAGGCCCUGGGAUGCCAGGUGAGCCACACACUGGUAGGUGCUCCACUGGGAACCUGCUGCAGAGCCUCCUGGGAGGUGGCGGGGGCAGCGGUCCGGGGCGAGAUGUGCCAGGUGGCCGCCAACCGAUGGGUGUGACACAGACGACCCCCUUCCUGCUUCACGGUCCCUCCAGCACCUGCUACUGAUGAAGCUUAGCACUCUGCAAGGGAGAAAAUUCCAGAAUCCUCAUGUGGGGCAGUGACAGAGGAGUUUGGAGCGGGGGACAUGGAUUGAUGACAGGCGAUUGGCAUCCAGAUGCACCUCCUGCGCACUCAGCCUCCCGUGAACGUUUUCCACUCAACGCUGUCCACCCAGCCUUCCCACAAGUGGGGGUACUCACUCUUCCCCAGAAUGAAGACGUGCUGUCCCAAGUCCCCUUAUCUCUUCCCGGCUGUGCUCACUGCUUCCCACACUCAGUCACAGCCCCCUGGAUGCUCUGUUACCUGCAGUCUGAACUGCAGAGUUAACCUCCAACAGAUUUCAGGUACAAUAACAAAGCCAAGGGGAGACAAGAGGGAAGCAGUUCACAAAGCACACAAAAACAUUAGAAUAGCGAAGACUUGGAGAAGGAAGUGGCAGCCAACUCCAGUGUUCUUGCCUGGAGAAUCCUGUGGACGGAGGAGCCUGGUGGGCUGUAGUCUAUGGGGUCGCACAGAGUCGGACAUAGCUGAAGCAACUUAGCAUGCAUUCAUCCAUUGGAGAAGGAAACGGCAAUCCACUCCAGUAUUCUUGCCUGGAGAAUCCCAGGGACAGGGGAGCCUGGUGGGUUGCUGUCUCUAGGGUCGCACAGAGUUGGACAUGACGAAAGUGAUUUAGCAGCAGCAGCAGCAGCAGCAGCAAAGACUCUCAGGCGAAGCUCCCACAGCCCUAGUUUCUGUAACAGCGGGGAAGCCAUGUCUGCGGACUCUUUUUCCCGUUGCCCAUUCUUCUUCCCUUACUCAGCCUGGAUCUCCCCCACCCGCAGCCAGAGCCUCAGUUGGCAGGCUUGCUGGAGAAUACGUACGUGAUGGAAUGACCUGAAGGAAGGUCCCCGAGGGGUCUGAGUCCUGGCUCCCCUGCCCUGCUACGGUUGAUGUGGUGUUCCAUUAGCCCUUCCUGUAGGUUGUAGAAAUUGUUGGAAGAGCUCCAGAGAAUGCCCUGCUCUGCUGGCCAGCCCUCCCGUCCUUGCUGCAAAGUGGCCACACAAUGGCCCCCGGGAACAGAAUUGGUCACGCCAGCCAUAGAGCAGUCCCUUGCUGGCCUUUUGCAUAAUAAACCCAGAGGGCCAGGUGGUAGUAUUGCCUUUCAAUUUAAUAAAGCCGCUGGGUGCUCCGUGGCUGCAGUAUUCCCCAUGGAGGACUGAGACCCUCAAGUCAGCAGAGCUCAAGGUUGGGUGUAAGAAAGGGUCCACCGCAGCUACUCCUGGCCCUGGACCUGUGCGUUUUGAAUAUGUAUUUACUUACCUGGCUGCACCAGUUCUUAGUGGUGGCGUGUAGGAUCUGGUGCCUCCACCAGGGAUCGAACCCUGCCUCCUGCACGGGGAGCUCAGAGUCUUAGCCACUGGACCACCAGGGGUGUCUCUGGACCCAUGCAUUUUGCUACGGCAGAAACAGACCCAUGUAAUUGUCUCUGACCCAAACCCCUGUGGAAGCCCACGAAGCAGAGAGAGCCUCGUCCUUCCUGGACGUUGUCUCCCAUCUGGCACCACAACCAAAUCUUCCCUAGGUCACUCAGCCCCUCCAUCGGGCUGGUCACUUCCAGGUGUGCAGUGAGACCAGUGAAGUCCAUGGCCGGGAGCCCACACCGCUGCACCCCCUUAGCUGUGACGUGAAUCCCUCUCUGAGAAGCCCAGAUAAGGCAUUUCGCGAGUGUGAGUCGUGGCGCUGAUGGAAGUUACAGUCAAGCAAGCCAAGCCACAUCUCUGUCCAGAAUGCAUCUAUUCCAGGAGGGAGCCUGAACUGCAUAGUUGGGGGAACUUCGGAAGUGACACCACAUACCCAGGAAAGACUCAGUAAGAUAUUAUAUUCACACCUCAGGCUAAUCCUCUGCACAGAAACAGCCUGCAACAAUAAAAGGAAAAACAAUAACAAAACCCAGAAAACCCUGGGGAAGGAGGAAAAUCUGAUUUCCAGAGUUACUACAUUAUGACUGGAAAUGCCCACUGUACAACCAAAAAAUCGCAAGACAUAGAAAGAAACAGGAACAUACGGCCCAUUCACAGGAGAAAAGUAACCAACAGAAACUAUUUCUGUAAAAGACCUGAUGGCAGAUAAACUCGACCAAGACUUUAAAACAAUUAUCUUAAAGAAGCUCAAAAACAGGAAGAUGCAAAGAAAGUCAAGGAAACAAUGCGGGAACAAAAUGAAAAUAUCAGUAAAGAGAAAACCUAAAAAGAACUCCCUCCUCCCCAAAAUCCUGGAGCUGAAAAGUACAAUUUAUUGUUGUUCAGCUGCUAAGUCAUGUCUGACUCUUUGCAACCCCAUGGACUACAGCAGGCCAGGCUUCCCUGUCCUUCACUAUCUCCCAGAGUUUGCUCAGAUUCAUGUCCAAUGAGUCAGUGAUGCCAUCCAACCAUCUCAUCCAAUUUUUCCCUGCUCUUCCUGCCUUCAGUUUUUCCCAGCAUCAGGGUCUUUGCCAGUGAGUUGGCUCUUCACAUCGGGUGGUUGAAGUAUGGGAGCUUCAGCUUCAGCAUCAGUCCUUCCAAUGAAUAUUCAGGGUUGAUUCCUUAGGAGUGACUGGUUUGACCUUGCUGUCCAAGAGACUCUCAAGAGUCUUCUCUAGCACCACAAUUUAAAAACAUCAACAUUUGGUACCCAGCCUUCUUUAUGGUCCACUUCUCACAUCUGUACAUGACUAUUGAAAAAACCAUAGCUUAACUAUACAGACCUUUGUCUGCACAGUGAUGUCUCUGGUUUUUAAUACACUGUCUAGGUUUACAUAGCUUUCCUUCCAAGGAGCAAGUGUCUUUUAAUUUCAUGGCUGCAGUCACUCUCUGCAGGGAUUUUGGAGCCCAAGGAAAGAAAAUCUGUUACUGCUUCCACUGUUUCCCCUUCUAUUAGCUAUGAAGUGAUGGGACCAGAUGCCAUGAUCUUUUUUUUUUUUUAAUGUUGAGUUUCAAGGCAGCUUUUUCACCCUCCUGAAAACAGCAAGAGAGAAGUGAAUCAUCACAUCAUCACAUACAAGGGAUUUUCAAUAAGACCAUCACCAGAUUUCUCACCAGAAGAUCUGGAGGCCAUGGGACUUCCCUGGUGGCCAUGUGACUAAGACUGCGUUCCCAAUGCAGGGGGCUCGGGUUCCAUCCAUAGUCAGGGAACUAGGUCCCACAUGCCACCACUAAAGAUCCUACAUGCUGCAGCUAAGGCCUGGUACAGCGAGAUAUAUAUAUAAAAUUUUGUAAGCCAGAAGGCAGUGGGCCGAUAUAUGCAAAUGCUAAAAUGUAAAAACCUGUCCACCAAGAGUCGUAUAUCCAGCAAAACUGUCCUUCAAAAGUGAGAGAGAAAUGAACACGUGCGUGUGUGCUAAGUGGCUUUAGCUGUGUCUGCCUCUUUGUGACUUCAUGCACUGUAGCUCAGCAGACUCCUCUGUCCAUGGGGUUUUUCAGGCAAGAAUGCUGGAGUGGGUUGUCAUGGCCUCCUCCAAGAGCUCUUCCUGACCCAGCGAUCAAAGCUGCUUCCUUUAUGUCUCCUGCAUUGGCAGGCAGAUUCUUACCACUAGCACCACCUGGGAAGACCAGGAAUGAUCAUACUCCCUAAUAAACAAAAUUGAGAGACUCCAUGACCACUAGACCUGACCUGCACGAGAUGCUCAAAGGAGUCAUCCAAGGUGAAGUGAAAGGGCAUUAGACGGUAACCUGAAGCCACAUGGAGAAGUUUAGAUCCUAGUAAAGGUAAAUACAUGAGCAAUUAUAAAAGCUAGUGUUAUUGUAAGAGUGGUUGGUACCUGUACCUUUGCUUGUUUUCUACCGAAUUAAGUGAUGGAUACACUAAAAAAAAACAAAACAAAACAAAAACAGUUUCUAGUGCAAAGCUAGUAUUACUAUAACUUUGGUUUGGAACUCCAAAUCUUGUUUUCCAUGAAACUUAGGAGAAUAAUGCACUUAAAAGAAUUAAUGGUUUAUAUUUUGGGGAAGACAUGUGUAAAGUAAGUACAUAACAUUAAACUUUUGAUUGCAAUGUAAGUGCUGAGGCAUCUGUUUCAGAAGACAUCCAUUUUAAAUAAACAUAUUACCAGCUGUAUGAAACAGCUACUAUCAAAACAGCAAGUUAAGGAACUAGGCCUCCCACACUCAAGAAGCUCCCCUUUCGGAACACUGUGGGAAACCUAGAAAACUGACAAAGUGGAGGAAAACUAAACCCUAACUCCUGCUCUCGUGCUUUAAUGACGAGUGACCCAUGCAACCCCAGACUCCAUCUUUGGACCACGACAAGGGCAAGCCCCCACAUUCUGUGUCUCUCUCUUUCUCUCCCACAACCUGUGUGGUCCUCGGUGUGCUGUGCACCCUCCAGGAACUGUGAGUAAUAAAGCUUGUUCCUCAAAGUUCCCUGAAAGGUUUUUGCUGACGUGUGUCUGCAAUCGUAACGAGAAACACGAGGCCAGCCCAGUCACAGCACUGUUCCUGGUGGCAGAAGGCCCGUGGUGUUCACUGUGACAGCCGCAGCCAGUGCCUCAGGUACUCCUAGCCGAGAGCACCCGGUUAACAGCCUGGGACAGACACAACAACAACGUUUAAUGAUGCAGUUUUGAGAUACUGACCAAGAAAGAAGAGCUGUCAGGGCGUAGAGACCCAUAUGUCAUUAAUGUUAAGCUGGUAUAAAUUUAAAUUUGGGUGUUAUAACUUUAGGAUGUUAAAUGGAAUCCCCAUGGUAAACACAAAGAAGCCAGCUAUAUAAUAUACACAAAAGGAAAUGAGAAAAGAAUGUAAACAUUUCAUUAUAAAAAAAAAAUCAACCAAUCAUGAAAGGAGACAGUCGUGCAGGAAAUGAGGGACAGACAAGCUGUGAGACAUAAAGAAAGUCCUUAAGCAUUUCCCUAACCUAGGAGGUGUACAAUGCAAACUACAAGACACUGCCGAAAGAAAUUAAAGAAGAAACAAGUAAACGGCAACACAUCCCAUGUUCACGGAUUGCAAAACUUAAUAUUGUCAAGCUACGAAUACUAUCCCAAGUGAUCUACAGAGCCAGUGCUAUCCCCAUCAAAAUCCCAAAUUCUUCAGAGUAAUGACACUUCUAGAAUAUGCAGAAAUAGAAAUUCCCAUUCUAAAAAUCGCGUGAAUUCUCAAGGGACCCCAAAUGGC
ensembl:lncRNA